rnacentral:lncRNA from 1 species
AUCUUGUUCGUAUUCUAGUUAAAACCUCUUCUGAUAGGUAGGUUCCUAUCCUUUAUCUAUCAGUAAAUGGAUGAAAUUCACUCAUCAGAAUCAAUAUACGACGUAAAAUAAGGCCAUGAUCGCUGCAUCUUAAAUCGUUCGUUCACUCGAAAGUCUUCUCUCUAUGCUAAAACGCUAAAUCAUUUGGACUCUUUCACACAGGAAUUUAAGUGAAUAAGGAA